UACGUAGGGUGCGAGCGUUAAUCGGAUUUACUGGGCGUAAAGCGUGCGCAGGCGGCCCGUUAAGACAGGUGUGAAAUCCCUGGGCUCAACCUAGGAAUUGCGCUUGUGACUGGCGGGCUCGAGUACGGUAGAGGGGGGUGGAAUUCCAAGUGUAGCGGUGAAAUGCGUAGAGAUCAGGAGGAACACCGAUGGCGAAGGCAGCCCCCUGGGCCUGUACUGACGCUCAUGCACGAAAGCGUGGGGAGCAAACAGG
rnacentral:rRNA from 1 species